UGGGUUCUUGCAUCAUAGUGAUUCUAAAUGACUAGAAGUGAAGGGUCUGUCUGGCACAGCAGUUGGGGACCAGUACUGAGAUUUCAGGACUUCCGAUAUGACCGUCUUUGUGGAUCAGGCUGCCUUUACAUUCAAGGUCGGAAGCAGAGGGUAAUAAGGUGUAAUGGAAUGAGAAUGGAACAAGCACAGGAUCUGGAGACACAAGCCAGGUCUCCAGUCACUGCUUAGCCGGAGAUGAAUGGCUGGAGACCUUGGACACAAUGCUGCCUUGGGUCUCAGGAGGAGUUGCACCAGAAGAUUUUGCUCACCUAGCAACACUGGCUGUGGCUGAGGAGUGGUGUUCCUCUACACAGAGCCUGGGCUUUCCUCCAGACUUGCUGCCCUCUUGCAAGCCCCCUGCCUGAUGUCACCUGCCUGAUGCUGGUGCUUUUCGACUGCUGUAUCUAUGAAGGGAGAAGCAUUUGCUGCUGAAACACUUGAGAGUAAAGUUUAGCAGAGUAAGAGAGACAUAAAUCUAGAGGUUUGGGAUAGUUUUUUUUUUAAAGGAUGUAUCAUUCGUUUAUUUUAAAAAGUCUAAGAAGAAAAGAGGAGAGCAGUGGGUACAUUCGAGAGCAUUUGAGGGUUAGAAAAGAUUUACAUCUUAGGAAUGAGGAUCCUUGAGCUUGUUUCCAAGUUCAUGGUGUUUUGAGUGUGGCAAGACUUUUUAAUAAUAUGAAUGAUGCCCAUGGAAUCUUCUGUAACAUUCAAUCGACGGGAAUCCCGAAGUACUAUAUAUCCCAGAUCUUUAUUUUCCCAAACACAUUGGAGUAUGAAGGACAUGUUGUGAAUGACAGAAUUCUGUCAUUAUAUUUAAUUUACUAUCAAAUUUACCUACUAAAGUGGAGGACUGAUUAAGAUAAAUACAGACAAUGAUCUCAUCCUGGAAGGAAUUACUAUGGAAAAAUAAUUUGACAAGAAGAUCCACUUUUUAUCUGAACAAUAAAACAUAUCAAUUUCUCAAAACCUCUUAUGUUUGGCCAGUUCAUCUGGUGAGAGAAUGGAAAAAGGGAGACAUUCAUCAAUUUUACAACCUGCAGUCCAUCCUCAGACCAAAUCAGGAAGAAGAGUGCAUGGAGAAAACAUUUGGGAAGAAAAGGUAUUUUCAAAACAUCUGGAGCAAGAGACAAAUCCCAUCAGCUCAGUUCCAACAAUAUAUGCAGGAGGAUGUCUUUCAUGCAGUUAACACACAUGGAAACUUUAAAUGCUACCUUCAGAAUAUUUUCCUCACCCGUAUGUCACUCCUUCAUCUCAGCACUUCCAUCUGAUUUGGCCCCUCAGGCUGGAGUGCAGUGGCGUGAUCAUGGCUCACUGCAGCCUCAAUCUCCAGGGCUCGUGUGAUCCUACCACCUGAACCUCCUGAGGAGCUGGGAUCCUACUACCUGAACCUCCUGAGGCGCAAUAUGCAUUGCGCCACCAUGCCCAGCUAAACUGUGGCGUCAUGUAGAAGGAAGGCUAAUAUGGAUGUGAGGUUCAAGAUCAAGAUGGGCAACUGAUGGUCAGACUCCAGUGGUUCUUCAAAACUUUCUAGGAGGUAAACAAGAUGAAAGGGAAAGCACACAAAUUUGCUGGAAUUUGGAAAACACGAACCCUGGAAUUUGGAGGAGUCACUUCCACUGGAAAAUACUUUUAUAUUAUUUAUAGUGGCUACCAUUACCGUGCUCACUUUACAGGUGAGGUUCAGAGAUUUAUGUAACAUGCCAAAGGUCACACAGCUGGACACAGCAGAACCAAGAUUCAAAUCUGCACAGCAGUAAAUGAAACCAGCCCAGCUGCGUGCUCACCUGAAACUUAUUUUCUCCUUCACGUUCCAAACUCAUGACUUGCUUGUGGCAGAAAAAAAGAACUACUUCGGGGUCCGCAACCCCUGGCAGUGGACCGGUACCAGCCCAUGGCCAGUUAGGAUCUGGGUAACACAGCAGCAGGGCCAUUUCAGUCCAAGGAGGAAUGGGACGCAUAGGUGACCACCAAAUAGUGAAGAAUAUGAAAAUCCAUGGUCAUCCCAGAAAAGAUGAGAAAAACUGAGGCUCAGAGAUGCAAAGUAGUUUUUCUAAGUAUUGGACUCAAAAGUCUUCAUUCUUUCUGCCACAAAAUGCUGCCUUAUAGCUGUCACAGCUAUGGGUAUACCACAGCACUGUGAAAUGGGAGAUUCCCUGAUCCCCCUGGCGGGAUGUGUGACAGGAGUAUGGCUCGCCUGUUCAGUUGCUGACACUGCUCAAAGCCCUGAUGGGAGGCGGGGCAUGCAGAUGGAUAGAUACAGGAGCUCAGGAUUGUUUUCUUCCAUCUGUGCAAAGUUCUACUUCCAUAGGGCAGGCCUUGUGCUGACCCAUGGAGGGCAUUGGAGAGGAAUCUUACUUGGUUUUUCUUGUAAAUUGGUCAAAAUCAUUAGCCUGAAGGUCUUACAUUUGGGGCAAGAAAGACUAAACCACCUGACUUAUUUUUGUCACAACUCAAAGGAAAGAUGGGAAUAUGGGUGAGAAGGACUGAUAUUCCCCAGGCAGAACUUUACAAGAACAGAAGGAAAUGUUUUCUUCAGAUGAUAAUCCAAGGAUGUGGUGAGCCCAGACAUGAGGGUAGUUGAGAAAGCAUGCCAGAGACUGUGCUGAAUGCAUUUGGAUUGCACAGGUUUGCCAGAUCCCAAAGCUAAUUAGGACUAGGCAGAAAGAGGCUCAGCACUCCACAGCCUGGCUAGUUCCCUUAAGGUAAUGCUUUUUUGAAGUCUGAGAAUAUCCCAUUGUUUAUUUAAGCUUUAGCCCUCAGCCUUUUCCAAAAGGAUUUGAAGGGGCUUAAACAUUAAUCAAAAUGCAAACUAAGAUUAUUAGUAAUAAGCCAAAAUCAAGUCUAUCCAAAUAAAUAAAUAAAAGAAUAAAUGUUGCCAGAGGUGGAAGAUAAGCUGAUUGUUUCUCUGGGUAAUGGGUUUGGCACCAGUGUGAGAAUAUUACCUGGGAUAUCCCUGAGGGAAGACAGAACCCAGGCACAUAUCUAACAAAAGACACUGUCAAAUCUCAAGGUUGGCCAAAUUACAGGGUUGAGCAACAUCUGCCCUCCCACCCACCAAUUCUGAGAUUAUUUUUAUUUUAUGUGGAAUUUUGUUUAAAUAAGCAUCACUUUCAGGGGUUGGUGGUGGUGGUAAAAUCAGACAUGAUUCCUGAUGGUGUAUGAGGAUGGUGAGAGGCACUCUUAACUCGAAUUAGUUGAAUUUGAGAGGGAAGUAUCUGGAUGAGCCUCAGCUUUUCCCUUUUCACCCAGAAGCAACAAAAAGAGCAAAGCAUUACUCUUCUCUCCUGGGGGACUGGCUGCCUCUGUGACUGCUCUAAGAGCCACAGUAUCAAUUCUACUCCCUCCCUACCUUGCCCGUCUUUCAUGUGGAAGGCAUUCAACAUUCUCCACCCCCAUUUCAGGGAAAGGUAAGCAGAUCCUGGAGCAGUGUUAUUUAAGACACAAGAAAAAUUGUACUAAAGUGUGUGCCUGUGUGUGUGUGUGUGUUUGUGUGUGGUGUGUGCUGAAUGUCAGUGAACUCAGGAACAAUAGAAGCCUACAGAUAUUUCUAGACCUUAGGGCAAGGUUUGGGCAAUUUCUCAAAUAAUCUUUCUUUCUGUUGCAGCCAUCAGCAGAAAUUUGAUGGGUCAUUGGCCAAUGCAUUCAUGAGUUUGGAGGGAGACAACUAAAACUUUACUGAGCUAGGCCAGACCACAAAGGUCUGGACCAGGUUUUCAGAUUGCUAAAAAUAACAAUUCUGACUUAUUAAUUACUGAGGCAGAACAGGAAUGAUAUACAUGAAGGACUAGGCUCUGAAAUGCCUCAGGGAGGCUGUAGAAGUCAGUCAAUGCCACAGUACCGCUGUGCAGCCAUCCCCACCCCCACUCCUCAGCUCGGUGGCUGAAAAACACAGAAUUAAUUUGUGCUCACACAUCUUUGGGCCAGCUAGAGUUUCAUUAAACUGAUCUGGGUUCCACUAAACUUAAACUUUGGGCCACGGAUUGAGGUCAGAGUCUCUUGUUCUGUAACGAGUAGGCAACUCAGGAACUUUCUAUCAUGGCUAUGGGAAAAGUGCAAGAAGACAAGUCCAAUCCUGCAUGCACAUUUCAAAUCACAUUUCAAUUGUACUAACAUCCCACUAUCUAAAACAAGUUCCAUGGCCAAAUCAAAGGUCAGCAGCCAGGGAAACAUUUUCUGUCUAUUCUGAGCCCAUGGCAAGAACUUGGAUGGAUGAUACUACAAGGGAGUGAAAAAUUGGGAACAAUAAUUCUAUGCCAAAGAAUAAUGCCAAAUAAUACCACUAAUGCCAAAGAGGCAUUCCUGAAUUGGUAGGUUAUGCAGCCUAUGUGGAGAAAGCAAAUUCUCUGGUUAGGAAAGCCCCAAACCAGAGACCUAGGGCUUUCUGUAAUGUUUUAGGCCAGUGAAAAGCGUAAGGUCGGAAAUCAGGUCCCCACUCAAGGAUGUCAUAUAAAGAUGUUGUCAUUAUAGCACACUUACAUCCUCCCAUAUUCUAUUUUUAACUGAGUCUUCAGGAGUACCUGAGGUUUCAACAUAACAGGGUAAGGUAAAGCCUUCCACGUGUUUUUUAAAUCUUUGUUUCUCUCUAGCAUGUUUUGUUCCACAAAGCUAAGGGCCAGGAAACCGUUUCUUUUUAUUAAUGAAACAAAUCUGUUCCUUGCUAUAGACAAUUUUUACUUUGUAGAGAUCUUAUUCCCUUCUUUGUGAGAACUUUCAGGAUGCUCAUGGAUAGCUCUGGCCAUGACAGUUUUAAUAGAGCUUCUUUUUCCUCUUUUAUUUAUGAUUUCUCUGUUUCACUACAUGGUUUUCAGUUUUACUGCCACUGAACAUUCAUUGCAGGCUGCCUUGAUUCAGUUUUGAAAGCAGACAAGCAAAGAAAGAAGGAGGGAGGGAGUGGAAAAGGAAGAAAUAAAAGAGAAAAAAGAUUGAACUUGGUAUCAUGUCUUGUCCUUAUGUUAAAUAAUAUUACAAUCAGGCAUAUUUUUUGGUCCUUAAUAUUAAACAACACUGAGAACAAGCAACAGUAACUUAGUUCCUGGAAGAUCCUUGCUCUUGGAAGAUAAUACCAACAGCCAACUAAAAUAGCUUACUUGUCAAGACUAAUAGUUUGCUCAUCAGAACUUCCUUCUGGAUCCCCAUAGUCCUAUUCUCAUCAACCCAAAGCUACUAUUGUAUAAACUCUGUCUUGCAAGACCCACCUUAAAAAAUGACCCAAUCUGGGCCCUUCCAUAAAUAUUCUCUCUCAUUAUUUCCCCUUGACCUUAUCGAGAUUGUGUUAUCCAGUACUGCAACAAAUCUAAUAAACUUAGAUUUGAAUAAUCAAUAGAUUUGUGGUCUUUAGGGAAAUCAUUAUUCAGCAGAAAAAAGCAAGUUUUUUAUUUGUAAAAAUCAGCCAUUGUCUUGUAUAUUUAUAUACCUGUGUAAGCUACAGAACAUACUCUGGCAAUAACCUAAAAUGCUACCAAUUUCAACCUUGUCAAAUACAUUAGUCAUCUCUGACUUUUGAUAGGAAAAGACACAUAUAACAACUGAAAAAAUUCAUUAAAAUGUGUGGUGGUUAUUAAGAAAGAUGAAGUUAUAUUUAUAAAACUAGCAAGUCAGUUUGAAAUAUUUUGACUUAAAAAGAUGAAUUGGGAAAUCUUUUUUUCUUUAUUUUAGGGUCAAGAGGUACAUGUGCAGAUUUGUUACAUGGGUAACUUGCAUGUCACGGAGGAGGUUUAGUGUACAUUUGUUUUUGUCACCCAGGUAAUCAGCAUAAUACACAAUAGGUAGUUUAAGUGAAGUUUUCUUCAACGCUUUUAGUCAAAGAGCAUGGAAACCAACUGUACGUGUGACUGACUUUCUUCCUCCCUCCAGGGGAGCCAUCUGUGAGCCACACUCUUGUCUCAUUCCUGUGGGCAUCUCUCUGCCUCUGUGCAUGGCGUUCAGGCAACAGAGCCUGUGGCAGACUGUAGGGCUAAUCACCUAAACUGGUGACCCUGUUUGGGUUGGAAAGAUUACCAAUGUGUUGAUGUCUGUGCACCCAUUGUUGUGUGUGGAAAGAUGGUGGAUUCAGGUAAGACAACUAUCAGAGAUCCAAUUAACAGGUAACCAGAACAUCCAGAAACUCGCAACCUUUUUUGCUUCUACUUUACAUUUCAGAGGCGUGAAGUGGUUGAUUCUAUCCUUGGUUUCAGUUUUAAAAUGGCCCUACAUGCUAUUUCGUAAAUUAUUUUUCCACAUUUAUCAUUUCAACAAGAUGUGCUGUGGGAAGAUCCUUCCUGCAUAUGCUGUCUAUUCAUGCUGAUUUUUGUGUUGCAGUUCUGACCUUCUCAUUUAUCUAAUGUGCAGCUGUCAAGGGCCUAUCAUGACUUAAAAUGUGUAACCCUAUGUUGGCUUUUGGAGCCAACAGAUUUGAAGUAAAGUUAUCCCUAAAGAAAAUUUGGCUUCCCCAAUUUUAAAUUGGUGAAAUAAUGAAACUUAGUGACCAAAAUAUGUAAAUUUAAGCAUUAAAGGGGAAGAAAUAAAGAGAUGAACAGAAAAAAGAA